rnacentral:pre_miRNA from 1 species
AUCACCUGGAAAUUUUAUUAAAAUGCAGAUUCUUAUUCAGUCAUUUGGGUUUAGGCCUGAGAUUCUGCAUUUCCAACAAGUUUCCAGAUGAUGCUAU